AAAUUUAUAAAAAAGUAACCGACGAAGCUUAUGCACAAAUCGCAUGUAUUCAUUUGAUGAAGGUUGCAACCACAUUUCUUUUCAGUAAAGAAGAAAUGUUUUCAACUCUUUACUAACAACAUAAUCAUUUUAAAUAGUCACAGUGUAGAUCGAACCCUGAUGGCGAAAGUUACAGCUGCAACCUCUUUACCACUAAUGCCGACUCGAUUCGUUCUGGUGGCUACAACCAUGACCACAUUUCCGUUUCAUUGAAGACAAUAUGCAUGUAUUUACCGGUAAUGAGGGGAAUGAUACAUCAUGCAUAUUGUUUUAUGCAUAACAAAUGCUUUUGGAACCAAUUAAUCAAAAUAUUUAACAACAAAAAUACAUUAAUCAAUUAAUUUAUGAUAUAAAUGAAAAUUGACAAACAACUAGGCCCAAAUUCUAGCCAAAAAAAAAAAAAACUAUCUGCAUGAGAAAUGCUUGUGGAAACCGAACCGGUCCUAUGACAAUAUAGUACUUUUUACCUUAAAACCGUUUUAAAAGUUUUGUUUCAUGGAAAACUUCAGCUAAACUUUUGUUUAGAUAUUUUGCUAGAAUUGAACCUUGUAGCGUA
rnacentral:lncRNA from 1 species